GACGAACGCGGGCGGCGUGCCUAAUACAUGCAAGUAGAACGCUGAAGGGGGAGCUUGCUUCUCCGGAUGAGUUGCGAACGGGUGAGUAACGCGUAGGUAACCUGCCUGGUAGCGGGGGAUAACUAUUGGAAACGAUAGCUAAUACCGCAUAAUAGUAGAUGUUGCAUGACAUUUGCUUAAAAGGUGCAAUUGCACCACUACCAGAUGGACCUGCGUUGUAUUAGCUAGUUGGUGGGGUAACGGCUCACCAAGGCGACGAUACAUAGCCGACCUGAGAGGGUGAUCGGCCACACUGGGACUGAGACACGGCCCAGACUCCUACGGGAGGCAGCAGUAGGGAAUCUUCGGCAAUGGACGGAAGUCUGACCGAGCAACGCCGCGUGAGUGAAGAAGGUUUUCGGAUCGUAAAGCUCUGUUGUAAGAGAAGAACGAGUGUGAGAGUGGAAAGUUCACACUGUGACGGUAUCUUACCAGAAAGGGACGGCUAACUACGUGCCAGCAGCCGCGGUAAUACGUAGGUCCCGAGCGUUGUCCGGAUUUAUUGGGCGUAAAGCGAGCGCAGGCGGUUAGAUAAGUCUGAAGUUAAAGGCUGUGGCUUAACCAUAGUACGCUUUGGAAACUGUUUAACUUGAGUGCAAGAGGGGAGAGUGGAAUUUCAUGUGUAGCGGUGAAAUGCGUAGAUAUAUGGAGGAACACCGGUGGCGAAAGCGGCUCUCUGGCUUGUAACUGACGCUGAGGCUCGAAAGCGUGGGGAGCAAACAGG
rnacentral:rRNA from 1 species